CGACCUCCAUCCCUACUGCCCUCCCAUGGAGGAUUUUCCCUAGCCAAGAUCCCACCCCAUAGUCUUCUCAAAAGUGCACAUCUGGUCGUGAUCCACCAUCAACACACACCUGGGAGCCGUGCAAGGAGGUCAGCCGCAUGAAGGAGUUGUCUGGAUGCGGAGGAUGACCGGCGCACUGAUUUCUCCAGCAGUCACACACUGUCGUCGCAGCAGCGGCAAAUCGGCGGAGGAAACAGAGGUGGCCGACGCACAGGUCUGCCGCCGCCGACGAAGACCACAUGGCAGGCCGCCCUUUGCUGCUACCAUGUGCGACUGUGCCGCCGUCGAGGAAGAUUAAGAUCGACGUUCGCUCUGCUGGAUGCCGAUGCUGCUCCUUCUCUGUCCGACCAUGCCGGCACUGGCGAAGAACAUAAGGCAGGCCGCCCUUCCCUCCAUGGGACACCAGUGCCGCUCUGU